AUACGUAGGUCCCGAGCGUUGUCCGGAUUUAUUGGGCGUAAAGCGAGCGCAGGUGGUCAUUUAAGUCUGGUGUAAAAGGCAAUAGCUCAACUAUUGUGUGCAUUGGAAACUGGGUGACUUGAGUGCAGUAGAGGAGAGUGGAAUUCCAUGUGUAGCGGUGAAAUGCGUAGAUAUAUGGAGGAACACCGGAGGCGAAAGCGGCUCUCUGGGCUGUAACUGACACUGAGGCUCGAAAGCGUGGGUAGCAAACAGGAUUAGAUACCCUGGUAGUCCACGCCGUAAACGAUGAGUGCUAGAUGUUGGGGGCCAUAAGGCUUUCAGUAUCGCAGUUAACACGAUAAGCACUCCGCCUGGGGAGUACGACCGCAAGGUUGAA
rnacentral:rRNA from 1 species